rnacentral:rRNA from 1 species
AGCCAGCAGCCGCGGUAAUACGUAGGGUGCAAGCGUUGUCCGGAAUUAUUGGGCGUAAAGAGCUCGUAGGCGGUCUGUUGCGUCGGCUGUGAAAACCCGAGGCUCAACCUCGGGCCUGCAGUCGAUACGGGCAGACUAGAGUUCGGUAGGGGAGACUGGAAUUCCUGGUGUAGCGGUGAAAUGCGCAGAUAUCAGGAGGAACACCGGUGGCGAAGGCGGGUCUCUGGGCCGAAACUGACGCUGAGGAGCGAAAGCGUGGGGAGCAAACAGGAUUAGAUACCCUGGUAGUCCACGCCGUAAACGUUGGGCGCUAGGUGUGGGGGGUAUUCCACUCCCUCCGUGCCGCAGCUAACGCAUUAAGCGCCCCGCCUGGGGAGUACGGCCGCAAGGCUAAAACUUAAAGGAAUUGGCGGGGGA